rfam:Danio rerio chromosome 4, GRCz11 reference primary assembly.
GCCCGGCUAGCUCAGUCGGUAGAGCAUGAGACUCUUAAUGUCAGGGUUGUGGGUUCGAGCCCUACGUUGGGUC